CGCGUAGGCGGAUGAUUAAGUCAGAUGUGAAAGCCCAGGGCUUAACCUUGGAACUGCAUUUGAUACUGGUCAUCUAGAGUACAGUAGAGGGGGGUGGAAUUCCAGGUGUAGCGGUGAAAUGCGUAGAGAUCUGGAGGAACAUCAGUGGCGAAGGCGACCCCCUGGACUGAUACUGACGCUGAGGUGCGAAAGCGUGGGUAGCGAACA
rnacentral:rRNA from 1 species